GGUGAACGCUGGCGGCGUGCCUAAUACAUGCAAGUCGAGCGAACGGACGAGAAGCUUGCUUCUCUGAUGUUAGCGGCGGACGGGUGAGUAACACGUGGAUAACCUACCUAUAAGACUGGGAUAACUUCGGGAAACCGGAGCUAAUACCGGAUAAUAUUUUGAACCGCAUGGUUCAAAUGUGAAAGACGGUCUUGCUGUCACUUAUAGAUGGAUCCGCGCUGCAUUAGCUAGUUGGUAAGGUAACGGCUUACCAAGGCAACGAUGCAUAGCCGACCUGAGAGGGUGAUCGGCCACACUGGAACUGAGACACGGUCCAGACUCCUACGGGAGGCAGCAGUAGGUAAUCUUCCGCAAUGGGCGAAAGCCUGACGGAGCAACGCCGCGUGAGUGAUGAAGGUCUUCGGAUCGUAAAACUCUGUUAUUAGGGAAGAACAUAUGUGUAAGUAACUGUGCACAUCUUGACGGUACCUAAUCAGAAAGCCACGGCUAACUACGUG
rnacentral:rRNA from 1 species